rnacentral:rRNA from 1 species
UGCGCAGGCGGGUUGGCAAGUCAGAGGUGAAAUCUCACGGCUUAACCGUGAAACUGCCUUUGAUACUGCUAAUCUUGAGCUCGGGAGAGGUUGAUGGAAUUCCAGGUGUAGCGGUGAAAUGCGUAGAUAUCUGGAAGAACACCAGUGGCGAAGGCGGUCAACUGGCCCGUAACUGACGCUCAGGCACGAAAGCGUGGGGAGCAAACA